GCUGCAGGUGUGGCACCAGAGACCGAUCACAGUCAUUGUGUGGGUGUGGCACCAUCACCUGUAGUUGGCCACUGCUGCAGGUGUGGCACCGUCACCUGUAGUUGGCCAUUGCUGCAGGUGUGGCACCGUCACCUGUAGUUGGCCACUGCUGCAGGUGUGGCACCAUCACCUGUAGUUGGCCACUGCUGCAGGUGUGGCACCAUCACCUGUAGUUGGCCACUGCUGCAGGUGUGGCACCGUCACCUGUAGUUGGCCACUGCUGCAGGUGUGGCACCAUCACCUGUAGUUGGCCACUGCUGCAGGUGUGGCACCAUCACCUGUAGUUGGCCACUGCUGCAGGUGUGGCACCAUCACCUGUAGUUGGCCACUGCUGCAGGUGUGGC